rnacentral:rRNA from 1 species
AGAGCGAACGCUGGCGGCAGGCUUAACACAUGCAAGUCGAACGCGUGUAGCAAUACACGAGUGGCGCACGGGUGAGUAACGCGUGGGCAUCUGCCUCAUGGUUCGGAAUAACCCCGGGAAACUGGGGCUAAUACCGGAUGGUACCUUCGGGUUAAAGAUUUAUCGCCAUGAGAUGAGCCCGCGUCCGAUUAGCUAGUUGGUGAGGUAACGGCUCACCAAGGCGACGAUCGGUAGCUGGUCUGAGAGGACGAUCAGCCACACUGGGACUGAGACACGGCCCAGACUCCUACGGGAGGCAGCAGUGGGGAAUAUUGGACAAUGGGCGAAAGCCUGAUCCAGCCAUGCCGCGUGAGUGAUGAAGGCCCUAGGGUUGUAAAGCUCUUUCGUCAGGGACGAUAAUGACGGUACCUGAAGAAGAAGCCCCGGCUAACUUCGUGCCAGCAGCCGC